rnacentral:rRNA from 2 species
GCAGAUCCAAUUUUCUGCCACCGAAUACAUUAGCAUGGGAUAAUGGAAUAGGACCCUGUCCUCCUAUUUUCAGUUGGUUUUGGCAGCGCGAGGACUAGGGUAAUGAUUAAUAGGGAUAGUUGGGGGCAUUAAUAUUUAAUUGUCAGAGGUGAAAUUCUUGGAUUUAUGAAAGAUUAACUUCUGCGAAAGCAUCUGCCAAGGAUGUUUUCAUUAAUCAAGAACGAAAGUUAGGGGAUCGAAGACGAUCAGAUACCGUCGUAGUCUUAACCAUAAACGAUGCCGACCAGCGAUUAGGAGACGUUGAAUACAAAACACCACCAUCGGCGCGGUCGUCCUUGGCGUCUCGGUUUCGGCCGGGGCGCGGGGAUG